UUUAAACUUGUCCGCACAAUUUACUUUAGACUCUUAACUUUACGGGCAAUUAUAUAUCUCCUUAACAACUUUCGAAUGAAUAAAUUUCAUCCCUAAUGCUGAUGGGGCAUAAUAAAAUAAAAUAAAAAACUGAAAGCGCGGAAUAAAUUUGUCUAGCUACUACAUUCAAGUUGAAUCAGGGUACGUAAGACAAUUGGAAUUCUUGAUUCCAACUUGUGUUUGUCUAGCUACAUACAAGUUGAAUCAGAGUAGGUAAGACGAUUGGAUGAUAGGCAUUGUUGACCAAUUCUUCAUUUGUCCCACUAAUUAUAUCUUAACCUGAGUUUGUUUCCCAGCUUCUUGUAAAAAUGAAGUAAUAUUUUGAGAUCUAAUUAUCAAAAACAAUGAUAGUUGGGACAAUUAUUGAACGUAAAAAUAGUUUCUGAAAAUUAUGGAUCAGUGAUCGAUACAACGAUUUUUGAAAUCCAAUUUAUAUCAACGAUACAACAAUAUAAUUCACUAUUAAUUUAUCAGUGGUACAACAACAAUACAAAGAGAAUUGUUGUAUCACUGAUACAACA
rnacentral:lncRNA from 1 species